rnacentral:rRNA from 1 species
CGAGCGGAACGAGUUAUCUGAACCUUCGGGGAACGAUAACGGCGUCGAGCGGCGGACGGGUGAGUAAUGCCUAGGAAAUUGCCCUGAUGUGGGGGAUAACCAUUGGAAACGAUGGCUAAUACCGCAUGAUGCCUACGGGCCAAAGAGGGGGACCUUCGGGCCUCUCGCGUCAGGAUAUGCCUAGGUGGGAUUAGCUAGUUGGUGAGGUAAGGGCUCACCAAGGCGACGAUCCCUAGCUGGUCUGAGAGGAUGAUCAGCCACACUGGAACUGAGACACGGUCCAGACUCCUACGGGAGGCAGCAGUGGGGAAUAUUGCACAAUGGGCGCAAGCCUGAUGCAGCCAUGCCGCGUGUGUGAAGAAGGCCUUCGGGUUGUAAAGCACUUUCAGUCGUGAGGAAGGUGGUGUAGUUAAUAGCUGCAUUAUUUGACGUUAGCGACAGAAGAAGCACCGGCUAACUCCGUGCCAGCAGCCGCGGUAAUACGGAGGGUGCGAGCGUUAAUCGGAAUUACUGGGCGUAAAGCGCAUGCAGGUGGUUUGUUAAGUCAGAUGUGAAAGCCCGGGGCUCAACCUCGGAAUAGCAUUUGAAACUGGCAGACUAGAGUACUGUAGAGGGGGGUAGAAUUUCAGGUGUAGCGGUGAAAUGCGUAGAGAUCUGAAGGAAUACCGGUGGCGAAGGCGGCCCCCUGGACAGAUACUGACACUCAGAUGCGAAAGCGUGGGGAGCAAACAGGAUUAGAUACCCUGGUAGUCCACGCCGUAAACGAUGUCUACUUGGAGGUUGUGGCCUUGAGCCGUGGCUUUCGGAGCUAACGCGUUAAGUAGACCGCCUGGGGAGUACGGUCGCAAGAUUAAAACUCAAAUGAAUUGACGGGGGCCCGCACAAGCGGUGGAGCAUGUGGUUUAAUUCGAUGCAACGCGAAGAACCUUACCUACUCUUGACAUCCAGAGAACUUUCC